AGACAAAUAAGUGUCUAGAUAGGAAAAAAUAACUUUGCUUAAUUUAUUUUUCCAAGUCUGAGCAAGAAAAGGAAGAAUUACAGCAACUUAUGGAGUUAAAACAGUUUCUGGAAAGCCAGUUGGAUCGGCAAAAGAAGAAAAAUGAUGGAUUAGAAAAAGAGAUUACUGGAUUGAAGGAAUGCUUGGAAAUGGCAAGAAGGGAAGUAAAUGAAAAUGAAAAAGGAGAGCCUAGUGCCCAUGGUGUUGUAAAAAUCAAUCCAACUGAAAUGGAUAUUCAGAUAGAUACGCUAAAACAUAAGGUAAUUUGUAUUCAGUUUGGGGGCCCAAAAACUCUUAAUUUGGGGAAUUAUAAGUCACUCGGUACUUUGAGCAGUGAACCACA
rnacentral:lncRNA from 1 species